UAAAACGUAGGUUCCGAGCGUUAUCCGGAUUUACUGGGCGUAAAGCGCGUUCAGGCGGUUCGGCAAGUCGGGCAUGAAAUCUCUCGGCUCAACCGGGAGAGGUUGUCCGAUACUGCUGGACUUGAGGGCAGUAGAGGGUGGUGGAAUUCCGGGUGUAGUGGUGAAAUGCGUAGAUAUCCGGAGGAACACCAGUGGCGAAAGCGGCCACCUGGACUGCACCUGACGCUGACACGCGAAAGCUAGGGGAGCGAACGGGAUUAGAAACCCCGGUAGUCCUAGCUAUAAACGAUGUUGACUAGGUGUCGACGGGUUAAAAUCCGCCGGUGCCGCAGCAAACGCAUUAAGUCAACCGCCUGGGGACUACGGCCGCAAGGUUA
rnacentral:rRNA from 1 species